UGAGUUUCUAGUUGGUUUGAACACGGCAUAAAUCAUGCUGGAUUGACAGCAUGGCCAAUGUUGAAUGUUUAUCCAUUUAAGCUUGGAAAAACCCAGACUUGGACCACACACCCUCUCCAUCAAAUAGCAGGCGUGAGAUUGCUUUGCAACGCUUGCAGUUAGCCACUGAUUCCUUCCAAAUCACUCAUUGUUGAAUUUGCAAUUUCCCGUUUGUUGUGUAAUGUUUAUGUCCAAUGGCCAAUGAGCACCGAUACGUUUUAUCUAUAAUUUCUCUUCAUAUGACAAGGAUUGAAAAGGAUUUGCCAGUAGAUUGUCGACUUGAUUCAUGAUGAUGACUGUUAGCUUGCUAGCUAAGAUUUUGAAAGUAUGAUGUUGACAUGAUCAGUGUAAUCAGAGCUACGGUAGAUCUAACGUGAUUUUAUGUCCUUUUAUCUGUGGCUUCAUGACAGCACCCAAGGCGCUUGAAUUUUCGAGCUCUCCCGUACAUUUUGCAUUGACCUAGUGUCCCCAAGAGUGACAGAACACUGAGCCAAUCACGGCGCAACUAGAGAACAUUUACCAACCCCUUACGCUCCGUUUUUUCCGUUGGCUGCCCCACCACCACAGAAAGCACUGAGGUUAGCUGAAACACCUGCAUUUUGGAGCUGCCUUACCAAGAAAGAGAAGAAGAAACCAUAGGACCUGAGCCCUAGGACCAUGCCUCAGGACUACCUGGCCUGAUGACUCCUUGCUAUCCCCAGUCCACCUGGUCAUGCUGCUGCUCCCGUUUCAACUGUUCUGUAUGCGGCUGUGGAACCCUGACCUGUUCACUGGACAUGCUACCUUGUCCCGAACCUGCUGUUUUGGACCCUCUCUCUACCGCAACUGCUGUCUCUAACUCUGAAUGAUCGGCUAUGAAAAGCCAACUGACAUUUAAUCCUGAGGUGCUGACCUGUUGCACCCUCUAGAACCACUGUGAUUAUUAAUAUUUGACCCUGCUGGUCAUCUAUGAACCUUUAAAAAUCUUGGCCAUGUUCUGUUAUAAUCUCCACCUGGCACAGCCAGAAAAGGACUGGUCACCCCUCAGAGCCUGGUUCCUCUCUAGCUUUCUUCCUAAGUAUUGGCCUUUCUAGGGAGUUUUUCCUAGCAACUGUGCUUCUACAUCUGCAUUGCUUGCUGUUUGAGGUUUUAGGCUGGGUUUCUGUACAGCACCUUGUGACAUUGGCUGAUGUAAAAAGGGCUUUAUAAAUUAAUUUGAUUGAUUGAUUAUUCUGUAUGUAAAUUCGAGACACUCAAUUUCGUAUGAUAUGUUACGAAUUACAAUUCAUAUGAUAUGUUGAGGGUUAAGGUAAGGGUUAGGAGUUAGGUUAAAGGGUUAAGUAACCUUCUAUCUCAUGUAACCAUACCAAAUGUAAGAUAUCAUACUAAUUUCAGUGUCCUGAAUUUACCACUGGGCGAAAUUGUCAAUAUCAGGGUAUAUCUUUAUCUAUUUAUUUACAGAUAUAGAGUAGGAGUAGACAUGCUCCAGAUACCAAUGUCCUUAAUUUCAUAUAUGGAGCUAGGAUAUUCUCCGUUUUGAUUCCAAAACAUCCGGUGAUUUUGCAGAAAUACUCAUAAUAAAC
ensembl:lncRNA